AUGUCUGAUAAGCCGAGGGUGUACCAGGGCGUCCGAGUGAGGACCACGGUCAAAGAGCUGCUGCAGAGGCACAGAGCCCGGGAGGCCAACAGCAAAAAAGUUAAAACGACUUGCGCGGAUCUUCAAGAUUUUUGUGGAUCCACAUUUUCAAGUCGCUACGUGGACCCUCCUCCCUCCAUUCCUCAAGAGGACGCGAGCAGCUGUGGCACGCGAGCGUUCCAGCUACGCACCGCCUCGUUCCCGGUACCUGACAGUUCGUGCACCAUUCAGAUGCAGGGGAGCGCGUUAAACGACAUCCAUCAACAGGCUGGUUACAUGAUGUUGCCCAGCAACGGUUACAGUGGUAACAACAGCAACAAUAACAUCGGCGGCGGCAGCAGCCUCAACGCCUCCCUGCCUCCGCCUCCCACCUUCCCGCUGUCCUGGUGCCACGGACUCUCCUCAGAUGCGGACUAUUAUGGGCAUGAGAUGGCUCCCUGCUCCCCAGCAGAGACGCUGAAGCUCUGCAGCCCCAUGGAUCACAACAGCUAUUCGCCGCAGGACUCGUUCUCCUCCUCUUCUUCCUCCUGUUAUGACUCGCCCACCAGGAUGGAGACCAGUUACCGCAGCUUUGCCUCAGAGCACUACCACUAUCAGCACUGCAACCUCCAGGACUGUUUCUGCAUGUCUCACUGUUGGCCGGGCCAGCAGGAGAGCUUCUCUGCCCCCGAAUAUGCACCUUACUACAACCCCACAGACUAUCCAUAUGCCUGUCCUAUGGAAGAGACCUAUUUUAAGAGAGAUUUGCAGAUGAGCUCUGAAAUGUGUUAUAAUGUACUAUGAUGAGACCUUCAAUAGUGUUGUUUUGACUUCUCGCUGUAAAUAUGAUUCGUUUCAAGUAUUAAGUACGACUAUUUGCUUGAUGCCCCCUCCCUUGCAUUUCAGUGUGCUUUGGCCUUUUUUUUUUUUUUUUUGAAUGAAUAUGAUGAAUGCUGAAUGUAUGGAAAGGCUGAUAUUUUUGCAUUAAUUACCUUUUUUUAGUACCAAAGUUUAUUUUCAUAUACAUAACUUGUUGCUAUUCUAAAUAAAAAUGUGUCAAACUCACUAACAU
rnacentral:lncRNA from 1 species